CGGUUGAUCCUGCCGGAGUUACUGCUAUCGGGGUCCGAUUAAGCCAUGCGAGUCGAGAGGUGCAAGACCUCGGCAUACUGCUCAGUAACACGUGGACAACCUACCCUGAGGAGGGGGAUAACCCCGGAAAACUGGGGAUAAUACCCCAUAGGCCAGGGAUGCUGGAAUGCCUCCUGGUUGAAAGGUCCGCGCCUCAGGAUGGGUCUGCGGCCGAUUAGGUUGUUGUUGGGGUAACGGCCCAACAAGCCAUUGAUCGGUACGGGUUGUGGGAGCAAGAGCCCGGAGAUGGAUUCUGAGACACGAAUCCAGGCCCUACGGGGCGCAGCAGGCGCGAAAACUUUACAAUGCGAGAAAUCGUGAUAAGGGAACCCCGAGUGCCCGUAAAUUCGGGCUGUCCAUCAGUGUAAAAAACUGGUGAAGAAAGGGCCGGGCAAGACCGGUGCCAGCCGCCGCGGUAAUACCGGCGGCUCGAGUGGUGGCCGCUAUUAUUGGGCUUAAAGCGUCCGUAGCUGGGUUGUUAAGUCUCCUGGGAAAUCCACCGGCUCAACCGGUGGGCGUUCGGGAGAAACUGGCAACCUAGGGACCGGGAGAGGUGAGAGGUACUCCAGGGGUAGGAGUGAAAUCCUGUAAUCCUUGGGGGACCACCUGUGGCGAAGGCGUCUCACUAGAACGGCUCCGACAGUGAGGGACGAAAGCUGGGGGAGCAAACCGGAUUAGAUACCCGGGUAGUCCCAGCUGUAAACGAUGCGCGUUAGGUGUAUCGGUGACCACGAGUCACCGAGGUGCCGAAGGGAAACCGUGAAACGUGCCGCCUGGGAAGUACGGUCGCAAGGCUGAAACUUAAAGGAAUUGGCGGGA
rnacentral:rRNA from 1 species